rnacentral:misc_RNA from 1 species
GGGGGGGCCUUUGUUAGUGUAAAAUAAUGUUACAUGAUCUCUGUUUUUUAAAUCCAUGCUAUAGAGAAUGAGCUUUUGAGUUAGAAAAAGGAAUGGUGAUUUUGUUGUGUUAUUUGCCAAGGAUACAAUAACUUGUGUGGCUUAGAGGGAUAGUAGAUUCUCUAGUUGAAGGGUUUUAUUUGCCCUCAGGCAAUGUUUUGGCUUAAGCCUCAAAGUUAACAUGGGGAAAAUAGGUUAAGCCCUCUUGGGGAAGGUGUGGAUUGUAGUCUUCUGGCUGGCAUUUUGGAUAAUAAGUUGAAGUCUCUUACUGUUUCAUAUUUAGGGUUUACUUUCAUGCAUAUGUAGUCAGGUUCAGUUAUGCAACUGUUUUAGUGAAUAGGUUUGAAAGAAAGCUAGCUAACAGAAAUUAACUGCCUCUUGAAGGUGGGAUUUUAUAGUCUCCACUCUCCAUCCUAUUGGUGUGCUUUCUAUUGUCAUUUUCUAUACCUGGGUUUGUGGUAAUGAGGUUAUAGAAUUGUCAAACAAGAUUACUCUGGGGCAAUAUUUAAAAAGAAAAAAAAGGAAGAGGGGGGGAGAGGGUGUGUUGCUGAAUGUUUAUUACAUCCCAACUCUGAUAUGGAAAGAGCCAAGCCACUGGAAGAACCAUACUAAUAUUAUGCAUCAGAUGCCUAUGUUCAAAUUUUGGAUACAUUUAAGAGAUGCUGGAUAUCCAUCAAGAGAUAUUUAAAAUGAAUCCUUUACCUUAUAUAUUUGUCUCUGAUAUGGCUCUGUCUCACUUUUGGUUCAUAUUUGAGAUCCAAUUUGGUCAUUGUCAUUUUUAACAAUAUGCAAUAGGUUACAGUUAUUGGGCCCUUUACUGAUUGAAUACGUCUCUUGGGUUCUCUACAUUGCUGGAAAGAUCUGUGUAGUUAAUUUUCUGAAAAUAUGGUUUACAUUUAUAUACUGUUUAAACUGUGUUUGUUAUGUCAGGGGGCUUCCCUUUCUAAUAACAUU